GCUGGGUGUGGUGCACAUGCCUGUCAUCUCAGCUACCCAGGAGGCUGAGGCAGGAGGAUCGUAAAUUCAAGGACAGCCUGAGUCACUUAGCGAGACCCUGUCUCAA
rnacentral:sRNA from 1 species